UUAUAUUCGGGAUUCGUGUAUUUUCUUCCAAUUUUGGUUUAAAAAGGAAAAAGGUCACAUUUUAGUGUUUUUUUAAAUUGCUAGGAUGGCAAAAACUUGUAUCGUAUGUGGUGCCGCAUCAUGAUAAAAAGGCGAUUCAAGCAGAUCUUUUCACAAAUCUGAUCAUUCAUCAUCAACAAUAACUGUAUCUAAGAUUAAUAGUUCUACAGUGACCGUGGGGUCUAGGUCAACAAUUACUAUUUCUCAUCCAAGCCGUUUUAGUUCAACUACUACACAUUCCCUGACUCCGCUGAGGAAAAGGGUAAAAUCAAAACGAUAUCCUGGGGACCUAAGCACUGAUGAUUUCACCGUUUCAAUAUGUACAAACUAUGUAUAUGCACAAACUAUGUAUCAACUUUAUUUUUUUAAAUAUUUAUUCCCUAAUUUAUAAGUUUCGUUACAUAUUUUAUUUGACUUGUAAAAGUACUUGUUUGUAUAUUACUACUAAUAAACUAUCUAAUCUAGUCUAUUGUA